rnacentral:rRNA from 1 species
UCGAGAAUCUUUCACAAUGGGGGAAACCCUGAUGGAGCGACGCCGCGUGGAGGAUAAGGUCUUCGGAUUGUAAACUCCUGUCAUGCGAGAACAAAGCCUCACGGCCUGAUAGUAUCGCAAGAGGAAGAGACGGCUAACUCUGUGCCAGCAGCCGCGGUAAUACAGAGGUCUCAAGCGUUGUUCGGAAUCACUGGGCGUAAAGGGUGCGUAGGCGGCGGGGAAAGUCAGAUGUGAAAUCCGGAGGCUCAACCUCCGAAUUGCAUCCGAUACUCCCUCGCUAGAGAUUUGUAGAGGAGUCUGGAAUUCUCGGUGUAGCAGUGAAAUGCGUAGAUAUCGAGAAGAACGCUCGCAGCGAAGGCGAGACUCUGGGCAAAUUCUGACGCUGAUGCACGAAGGCUAGGGGAGCAAACGG